GGGUCAGUAGGUUGGUCGUGCCACCGGUACGUACUGGUCUCACUGAUUCCUCCUUCCUGAAGAACCGUAAUGCCAUUAAUUUGGUGUUGCGGGAAACAGGACUGUUACUUUUAAAAAAUUAGAGUGUUUAAAGCAAGCUAACGCUUGAAUACAUUAGCAUGGAAUAAUGAAAUAGGACGAUCGAUCCUAUUUUGUUGGUUUCUAGGAUUGACGUA
rnacentral:rRNA from 1 species